rnacentral:rRNA from 1 species
GAGGCUUCGGCAAUGGGGGAAACCCUGACCGAGCGACGCCGCGUGGAGGAUGAAGGCCUUUGGGUUGUAAACUCCUUUCGUGGGGGAAGAAAGUACGCGAGGUGAAUAAUCUCGCGUGUUGACGGUACCCCAAGAAGAAGCCCCGGCUAACUCCGUGCCAGCAGCCGCGGUAAGACGGGGGGAGCAAGCGUUGUUCGGAAUCACUGGGCGUAAAGGGCGUGUAGGCGGUUCGGUAAGUGGGAUGUGAAAUCCCUCGGCUCACCCGAGGACCUGCAUCCCAUACUGCUGAGCUUGAGUACAGGAGAGGGUGGGGGAAUUCCUGGUGUAGCGGUGAAAUGCGUAGAUAUCAGGAGGAACACCGGUGGCGAAGGCGCCCACCUGGCCUGCUACUGACGCUGAGGCGCGAAAGCUAGGGGAGCAAACGGG